rnacentral:tRNA from 1 species
UACAGGGUAUUCUAAUUAAAUGAUAAAGGGUUCAUACCCCUGAGAUGUGUUUUUACACUCCUGUAC